GCGCAGCAGGCGAGAAUCCUCCGCAAUGCGCGCAAGCGCGACGGGGCCAUCCCGAGUGCCGCUCGCUGAGGGCGGCCUUUCUCCGGUGUAAGUAGCCGGAGGAAUAAGGAGAGGGCAAGUCUGGUGUCAGCCGCCGCGGUAAUACCAGCUCUCCGAGUGGUGGGGACGAUUAUUGGGCCUAAAGCGUCCGUAGCCGGCUUGACAAGUCUCCCGUUAAAUCCAGCGGCCUAACCGCUGGGCUGCGGGAGAUACUGUCAAGCUUGGGGGCGGGAGAGGCCAGCGGUAUUCCCGGGGUAGGGUGAAAUCCGUUAAUCCCGGGAGGACCACCAGUGGCGAAGGCGGCCGGCCAGAACGCGCCCGACGGUGAGGGACGAAAGCUGGGGGAGCGAACCGGAUUAGAUACCCCCGGUAGU
rnacentral:rRNA from 1 species